CUGCCGCCAGGUAAGAAGUGCCCUUCACCUUCUGAGGCCUCCCCAGCCAUGUGGAACUUAGAGACCAGCUUCCUGACGAGAAUGAGAAUGUCUGAGGGAUGUAGGAUAUUUUGGAACACAGACCACUUCAGGCACCAUGGAAAUCCUGGGUGGAAGCCAGAGUGGGAAAGCCUAAGGCAGCAGAAUAGGAUUCAGCCUGGAGAGAUGGGAAUGAGCCAUCUUUCUCCUCUCUUUUAACAAAGCACCCUCGCUGUUGGUCCCUGCAAGCUUCAAAGAAUAAAAGGCAAUGCAGAGAAGGCUGGAGAUCAGGAGAGCAAUGGUGUAUUUCCAGUUUGAGUCCGAAGGCCUGGGAGUCAGCAGAGCUGCUGGUAUAUUUAUGCCCAAAGGCCAAUAAACUCAAGACCCAGGAAAAGCCGAUGUUUCCAUUUGAGUCCAAAGGUAGAGGAAGACCGAUGUCCCAGCUGGAAAGCAGUCAAGCAGAGAGAGUGAAUUCUCCCUUACUCCCUUUGUGUUCUGUUCCAGUUGAUUGGAUGAGGCCCAUCCACAUUAGGGAGGGCAUCUGCUUCACUCAAUCUACUGAUUCAAGUGUUAGUCUCACCCAGAAACGACCUCACAGACAUAUCCAGAAUAACACUUGACCAAAUAUCUGGGCACCCAAAUGUCUGGGCACCCCACGACCCAGUCAAGUUGGCAGAGAAAAUCAACCAUGACAGCAGGGAUACCAA
rnacentral:lncRNA from 10 species